rnacentral:rRNA from 1 species
GACGAACGCUGGCGGCGUGCCUAAUACAUGCAAGUCGAACGCAGUGGGGACGGGUGAGUAACACGUGGGUAACCUCCCAUCAGAGGGGAUAACACUUGGAAACAGGUGCUAAACCGAUACUGAUGGAUGGACCCGCGGUGCAUUUGCUAGUUGGUGAGGUAACGGCUAACCUAGGCCACGAUGCAUAGCCGCGCUGCGAGGGUGAUCGGCCACACUGGGACUGGAGACCGGCCCAGAAUCCCAAGGGAGGGAGCCGGAGGGAAUCUUCGGAAAUGGGGGAAAGUCUGACCGAGCAACGCCGCGUGAGUGAAGAAGGUUUUCGGAGCGUAAAGCUCUGUUGUUAGGGAAGCGGUAACUAACCAGAAAGGGACGGCUAACUACGUGCCAGCAGCCGCGGUAAUAC